rnacentral:lncRNA from 10 species
GUCGGGGCAAACCCCAGGCGGAGUCCGGGGGAAGCAGCACGGCAUCCCAGCCUCAGGCCUGCCCGGACGGUGUUGGUUGGGGAUCAAGAUGAACACACUGCAGCCAAGGACAAGAGCCCCACAGGAGCUCUUUGUCCUGCAGGAGAGCAGCGGACCCACGUCAGAGAAGAUGCUUGUAUCUUUUCACGGCUCUUCUCUGAG